CCGGGUUGGGAUAGCGCAAGUGAGCUGAACUUCUGCGCUGGUGUAGUGCACUAUCCUCAAUUUAAUACUUUAUUUAAGGAAUUAUUUAUUUUGACGAAAACAGCUCUAUCCUCGUGUGCUUUUAUUAAUACCACUAAGGACGGUCGGAUUCGCUCUUCUCCCAGUAAUUAACGGGUUUAUUGGGAAGUUGAGGUUUACAGGGACAUCCCGGGCUUGCAGUGCCAUCCGAACCUGUGAUUUCUGAAAGCAGGUAAGCCACUGACUAACGCACAUUGCGCCUGUUCUUCACUCCACUGUGCGUGUGACAGCGGCUAACCAGCUUUUGGAUGAGUGCUUGACCUCAGCGUCCCACCGGGGAGUCCUGAAGGGCUCGGGCGGAUACGGCCCCUGGAGGGACGCUUUUGGGCCCCCGUCCCUCCACCGGUCUUUUUGUUCCUGUAGCUCAGCUGCUUGAAACCCAGAGGUUGUGGGUUUGAAUCCCGUGCAACACGUGCUAAGAAAUGGAGUGUAAACGUGUCACAGAGCUCUAGAUGAAGCGGCUUCGCUCAUUUAAAGUUUUAUGCAUAAUAAUAAUAAUAAUGUUGUUUUUGCACGUAAGCAGCAGCUCUGAACUUUGAACUUGUGCGGUUCUGCAAAUCCAGGUACAGUAACAUCAUGUGAAACACACUCGGCCUGUUAGCUGUGCUUUAAUUUAUCAUAUAUAAUAAUUAAACUUUCUCUCUGAUCGGCGGUUUUGGUUUCAUAGAUGUACAGUAAGUGUGUUUUAUUGGAUGUUUUCCUUUUUCAAUAGGUUGGCGAUUUCAUGAUGUGACACGUGAUUGUAUUAUAUUGCCUUAUAAUAUGAAAAUAUAUAUCAAAUAAAAUAUAUCAAAAAUAUGAAAUAAAUUGUAAUGUUUCUCAAUAUCUUACGUUAUAUUAUAUGAACUAUAUAAAAUCUAAAAAUUUUGAAAAUAAAUAUAAAAAUGUUUUGGUUUAGCAAUAAAAUAUUAAACGUAGUCAUGCAAUUUUGCUAAAGAAAUGGGUGAUGUGGUGCAACAAUAUAUUAUUAAGAAAUUAUUAACCAUAUAAAAUGUUACAUUUGGUAUAUAUAUAUAUAUAUAUAUAUAU
ensembl:lncRNA